UACGUAGGGGGCAAGCGUUGUCCGGAAUUAUUGGGCGUAAAGAGCUCGUAGGCGGUCUGUCGCGUCGGUCGUGAAAACUUGGGGCUUAACCCUGAGCUUGCGGUCGAUACGGGCAUGACUGGAGUUCGGUAGGGGAGACUGGAAUUCCUGGUGUAGCGGUGAAAUGCGCAGAUAUCAGGAGGAACACCGGUGGCGAAGGCGGGUCUCUGGGCUGACACUGACGCUGAAGCGCGAAAGCUAGGGGAGCGAACGGG
rnacentral:rRNA from 1 species